UAAGCGGAGGAAAAGAAACUAACAAGGAUUCCCCUAGUAACUGCGAGUGAAGCGGGAAAAGCUCAAAUUUAAAAUCUGGUGGUCUUUGGCCAACCGAGUUGUAAUCUAGAGAAGCGUCUUCCGCGCUGGACCGUGCACAAGUCUCCUGGAACGGAGCGUCGUAGAGGGUGAGAAUCCCGUCUUUGGCAUGGACACACCAGGGCUUUUGUGAUGCGCUCUCGAAGAGUCGAGUUGUUUGGGAAUGCAGCUCAAAAUGGGUGGUGAACUCCAUCUAAAGCUAAAUAUUGGCGAGAGACCGAUAGCGAACAAGUACCGUGAGGGAAAGAUGAAAAGCACUUUGGAAAGAGAGUGAAACAGUACGUGAAAUUGUUGAAAGGGAAACGCUUGAAGUCAGUCACGUCGACCGAGACUCAGCCUCGCCUCGGCUUGGUGUACUUCUCGGCUGACGGGUCAGCAUCAAUUUUGCCCCUUGGAUAAUGGCGAGGGAAAUGUGACACCUUUAUGGUGUGUUAUAGUCUCUCGUCGCAUGCAAGGGUUGGGAUUGAGGAACUCAGCACGCGCCCUUUGGGUGUCGGGGCUUUGCCCACGAUACGUGCUUAGGAUGUUGGCAUAAUGGCUUUAAACGACC
rnacentral:rRNA from 1 species